AUAUCUAUAUUGACUUUGAAAAAGAUUAAAAAUAAAUAUUAUUACGUAUUUUUAUUAAACAAAGCUACGGCCUGGUAGGUAUAUGUGAUUCACCAUAUAGUGUGGUAAAGGAUACAUCGUAGUAUAAAACACCCAGGAAAGGCGCAGAAAAUUGAUCACCUACUCUAUAUUAUCUAUAAAGACAAAUCAUGAAUGAUAUAGAAGCAUGUCAAAAUAUGCCUUUGUUAUGCAACGACAUAACUUUUAAAUUAAAACUAAUAUAAAGAAAACAUUGACAUAAUUCAUUAACACAAACAUAUUUUAUUAAACAUUCCAUGAUAUAUGCUACUUACAAAGUUACUACACAUAUUCUAACAAUAACUUAUCACCUUAUACGGAUGCAUAAAAUCUACUUAAACCGUCCACUUAAAGUUUAUCAACGUCGUAACAAUUGCUUUCGGUAAAAAAAUCAACAAAACCAGUCGCAGGCAGUCGGUGAACGUAUUUACAAGAGCACGUUCGUGUAGUAUUUUAAAUUAAAAUGACUUAUGCUUUCAUAAUAGUGAUGUCUGUUGCGAUCACAUUAAAAUUGAUGUUCAUGAGUUUCUCACUGUACUUCACAUUUAAACACAAUUUACGCGCUGAGCCGACAAAAAAGAAAAAUGGAAAGGAUAUAAUGGAAAAGUGCAAACAAGUCACGCGUGCUUUUAUGCCUAGCAUUCACUGCAAUCAAACAUAAAGGGAAAAUCAAGACAAACAUCAAUAAUACAUGAAACCGUUUGAUUAA